CCUCCUCAGAUACAUGGUGGGGUGACGUGGUCCAUGAAAACGCCAUUCAAAUGACGUUUCUAAAUGGGCUCCCAUAAAAUUCCACACCACCUGCAUCUUCUUCUUCUUUCCACCCGACGUGCACCCUACCACCCCCUCCCCUCGGGCCGAUGCCUGCUACCCUCCACCGCGGCCUUUCUCCUUCCCAUCCGACGCCCACC
rnacentral:lncRNA from 1 species